rnacentral:misc_RNA from 1 species
UGGUUCUGGCAUCGAUGAAGAACGCAGCGAAAUGCGAUAAGUAAUGUGAAUUGCAGAAUUCUACGAAUCAUCGAAUCUUUGAACGCACAUUGCGCCCGCUAGUAUUCUAGCGGGCAUGCCUGUCCGAGCGUCAUUUCAACCCCCAAGCCCUGGCUUGCUUGGUGUUGGGGAUCUACAGCGGCCCUGGUCCGUCGUAGGCCCCGAAAUGCAGUGGCGGUCCCGUCGAGACCUCGAGCGCAGUGAUUACUUUCUCGCUCAGGGCGUCCCGGCGGGCUUCCUGCCGUUAAACCCCACCAUAUCUUUAAAAGGUUGACCUCGGAUCAGGUAGGAAUACCCGCUGA